GACGCCAUUUUGGCCCCAGAGGUGCUUCUGGGAAGUUGAGCGCCGAGCUUCACUUUGCCGGCCUGUGAGGUCCGGCCCUGGCUGCUCGUUGCUGGGCUCUCCGGGGCGAAGCCUCACCUUGGCCCGCCGCCGCCGACUUCUCCGGGGCUCCGGGACCGGGCGGAAGCGCGGCGCCGCCGAGGGAGGUCACCCCGCCAGGAAGGACGCGACGGGGGCGGCGCGUGUCGCGGACACUCCCCGCCGAAGAGCCCGCCUGCCAUGGACUCCGAGUACUACAGCGGGGACCAGUCAGAUGAUGGUGGUGCUACCCCAGUACAGGAUGAGCGGGAUUCAGGAUCAGAUGGUGAGGAUGAUGUAAAUGAGCAGCAGUCUGGAUCCGACACUGGAAGUAUAGACCGGCAUUCAGAGAAUGAAACUAGUGAUCGAGAAGAUGGCUUGAACAAGAGACAUAAUGGAACAGACUCUGAGAAUGAUAAGCCCUCCAAUCUUAAUGCCAGUGACUCGGAAAGUGAGGAACUUCACAGGCCAAAGGACAGUGACUCUGAAUCUGAGGAGCAUGCAGAGUCUCCUGCCAGUGAUUCUGAAAACGAAGAUGUCAACCAGCAUGGGAGCGACUCUGAAAACGAAGAGCUUCUUAAUGGGCAUGCAAGUGACUCCGAAAAGGAAGAGGUUAGAAAACCUGCUGCCAGUGACUCUGAAGCCGAGGACACUCUGCAGCCUCAAGUCAGCGAGUCUGACAGCGAAGACCCCCCAAGACCCCAGGCCAGUGACUCAGAAAAUGAGGAGCCUCCCAAACCUCGGAUCAGUGAUUCAGAAAGUGAGGAGCUCCCCAAACCUCGGAUCAGCGACUCAGAAAGUGAGGAGCUCUCCAAACCCCGAGUCAGCGACUCGGAAAGCGAGGAUCCUCCAAGGCCACAGGCCAGUGACUCAGAAAGUGAGGAUCUCCCCAAACCCCGAGUCAGCGACUCGGAAAGUGAGGAUCCUCCAAGGCCACAGGCCAGUGACUCGGAAAGCGAGGAUCUCCCCAAACCCCGAGUCAGUGACUCGGAGAGCGAGGAGCCUCAGAAAGGACCUGCUAGUGAUUCGGAAGCUGAGGAUGCCUCCAGACACAAAGACAAGCCCGAGUCAGAUGAUAGUGAUGGAGAGAAUAAGAGGGAAGAUUCGGGAAUGCAGAAUGAGUCAGAGGGCCAUACAGACAGAAAAAGACUCCACAGCUCAGACAGUGAGGAGGAAGAACCGAAAAGGCAGAAAAUGGACAGUGAUGAAGAUGAGGAAAAGGAGGGGGACGAGGAGAAAGUAGCAAAGCGGAAGGCUGCCGUGCUCUCUGAUAGUGAAGACGAAGAAAAAGCAUCGGCAAAGAAGAGUCGAGUUGUCUCUGAUGCUGACGACUCUGAUAGUGAUGUUGUAUCAGACAAAUCAAGUAAAAGAGAGAAGACAGUAGCAUCUGACAGUGAAGAGGACGUGGGGAAAGAAGAAUCGUCUGUAAAGAAGAGUGAAGAGAAGGAUCUGUUUGGGAGCGAUAGUGAAUCAGGCAAUGAAGAAGAAAAUCUUAUUGCAGAUAUAUUUGGAGAAUCUGGUGAUGAAGAGGAAGAGGAAUUUACAGGGUUUAACCAAGAAGAUCUGGAGGAAGAGAAGAGUGAAACACAGCUAAAAGAAGCAGAAGAUUCUGAUUCUGAUGAUAACAUAAAGAGAGGAAAGCAUAUGGACUUCCUGUCGGAUUUUGAGAUGAUGUUACAACGGAAAAAGAGCAUGUGUGGCAAACGCAGACGGAAUCGAGAUGGGGGCACUUUUAUUAGUGAUGCAGAUGACGUUGUAAGUGCCAUGAUCGUAAAGAUGAAUGAAGCUGCGGAGGAAGACAGGCAAUUGAAUAAUCAAAAAAAGCCAGCACUGAAAAAAUUAACUUUAUUGCCUACUGUGGUUAUGCACCUUAAAAAACAGGACCUUAAAGAAACAUUUAUUGACAGUGGCGUGAUGUCUGCCAUCAAAGAAUGGCUCUCACCUCUACCAGAUAGGAGUUUGCCUGCACUCAAGAUUCGGGAGGAACUCUUGAAGAUUCUGCAAGAGCUACCUAGUGUGAGCCAGGAGACCCUGAAGCAUAGUGGGAUUGGACGAGCAGUGAUGUAUCUGUAUAAACACCCCAAGGAAUCAAGGUCCAACAAGGAUAUGGCAGGGAAAUUAAUCAACGAGUGGUCUCGGCCUAUAUUUGGUCUCACCUCAAACUAUAAAGGAAUGACAAGAGAAGAAAGGGAGCAGAGGGAUCUAGAGCAAAUGCCUCAGCGACGGAGACUGAGCAGCACUGGUGGUCAGACACCACGAAGAGACUUGGAGAAGGUGCUGACAGGAGAGGAAAAGGCUCUUAGACCUGGAGAUCCUGGCUUCUGUGCCCGUGCUAGAGUUCCAAUGCCAUCAAACAAGGACUAUGUCGUCAGGCCCAAGUGGAAUGUAGAAAUGGAGUCAUCCAGGGACCUUCCCUGGGAGAUGGAAUGUGUCAAUCUCAGAGGAAACUGCUACGCAACACCCAUAAAUCUGGGGCAUUUCAAUACUUGGUCUGCAGUUGGUGGCUGUUUGUGGAAGGUUAAGAAGUGUGACCUUGCUGGAAGUAUAUUACUGGAGGUGGGCUUUGAGGUUUCAAAGGACUCAUGCCAUUUUGAGUUACCACCCUCUGUUUGCUGCUCAUGGUUCAAGAUGCACACUUUCAGCUGCUCCUCAUGCCUGUCACCUGCUGUCCUGACUUUGUCAUCAUGGAUUCCAACCCUCUGAAACCGUAAGCCCAAAAUAAACCACCUACAAGUUGCCUUGGUCAUGGAGUUUUAUCACAAUAGAAAAGUAAUGUAGAAGUUGGUACCAAGAGUGGGGUAUUACUGUGAUAGACUUUGACCAUGUGGUUUGGAGCAAUGUGGAAGCCUUUGGAACUCUGGACUAGAAAAGCCAUUGGAUGCAGUAAGCAGAGCUUAAUGGGCCAUUCUAGUAGGAACUUUAAUGAAAGUAGCGUGAACUAUAGUGGCCUACCUCACAAGUUCUCAGAGGGGAACAAUAUAAGCAACUGAGUUGGAGACCAUUCUUUUAAUAUUUGGCAAAGAAUAUGGUGGCCUUCUGCUCUUUUUGUAAGAACUUUCCUGAGGUUAAAUUUAAAAGUAAUAGACUAAUGUCUUUGACAGAGGAGAUUUCAAAACAGCCUAAUAAACUAACUCUGUUUUGUGGUUAUUAGAAAUUAUUUUUUUGCAGGUCUACAAUGAAGAGCAAAUAGGGCAGAAAGAAAUACAAAAUGUAGAGCUUGGAGAGGAAAAGGAUACUGGCAAAGAUAAUGUUACAGUCAAGGCUUGUGCUAGAAGACAGACUGUAACUGUUAAGGGAGGCCAAAUCUGUGUUGGAAUGGAUGCCCUCUUGCCAAGACCUCACUCAGCUGAACUUCCAACUUGUGAAAGGAAAAGACCUAAGGAAUUAACAAAAUGUCAGUGUCAGCCAUCGAGUUCUGGCUUAGAGUCAUGAAGGACACACAUGUAAAGGAGUUGUAGAAUCUGCCUCCACAGUCAUGGAGAGCCACUGGGGCCAGGCAUGUGGAAGUCAAGUGUGAAUUGCACGGAAGACCACAAGAUGUUAGAGGUGCCAGAGCCAAGGCAUAUCUGCCGAGGAGAGCUUCAUACAAAAAGUGGAACCCACCUGAGAAAGAAAGAUCUGUCUUAGAGGCAGCAAAGCCAAAAGGGGAGGGCCAUUUAAGCCCUUUGACAUCAGACAUGGAGCUACAGGAUUUGGAGGUUUGCCCUGCUGUGUUUUGGCCUUCUUUUGGUGCAGUAUUUCUUCACUAUGCUGUGAUUCCUCAAUUUUGGAAUGAUAAAGAUGUGAGUUCUCAGCUGCUGUUUCUGCCUGCCAUCUGCUACCUGAAAAAUUUCUGUACCCUGAUAUUAAGCCUCUCUGCUGACACCGUAAUCCAAAUCAAACCGAAUUAACAAUUAAAAGUCUGGGUUUAAUGAAUAAAA